AUGUACUGGUUAACUAAUGAUAUGGCAACUAACUGGAAGCAUGUUGUUAUGUGCUUUGAUCUCGGUGAAGAAGCUUUUGCACGGAUAGAACUGCCAACAUCAGUACUUGAAAAUAGUGUUUAUGGUGGUCCCCGUAGGUACUGGAUCAGAGAGAUAGAGGGGAAAAUAUGUAUAGCAACUGCUCAAACCUGGCACAAAGUUAUUUAUGGUAAGCUGCAGAUCUGGACACUAGACAACAAGGUCGAGCAAAGUUGGAGCCAGAAGUACAAUAUUCUUACAGCAGGUUACAUCGCGGGUCCAAAUUUAUCUUAUGGGGAUAAGUUAUUGAUGCAAAGAAAUGAUAGUAGGCUAUUUUCUCAUGAUUUGCAUGGGAAUGAAGGGAAUAUCGAGCCUAUGAUAUUAAACAUGAUGAGGUUUUCAGGCUUUAGCCUAGUUUUAGAUUUUAGCCCUCGCAAGCCAGACAAUAUGCAAUCCUACAUAUAUGUGGAGUCACUUGUACGCUUAGAUGUGUACAAAAAAGGCGGCAUUGUGCGUAAGCCAAAAAAGAGGGAAGUUUGGAAAUUUAAGAAGUGGAAGCCUUGCGAGGACGAGCUCUCUCAGCUAGAAGAGAUGUGGAGCCACAUUCAUCAAAAAGAGCAUGACAUAACUGUCUUUUCACAACGAUCUGGCAUACAACUCAAACAUCGUCUGCAAGGUAUAUCAAAUGACGUGAUUCGACAACAAAUAGGCCUGCAAAUUGAUCAAAUCGUUCCAGUCUUUCCAAAUAAGUAUCCAAGAUCCUCCCAACGACUUAAUUUGGUGGGGGAAAAGCGGGACAGAGAAAAGUUACUUGCUCGUAUGAGGAAGUAUGGAGAUAUUUGCAAGGCUAUGAAUAAGGAAAUUGGGUGGAUCGCUCGUAUGACGGAGAUUGCUACACAAUAUAAGGUGGGUCCUUCGAGUUCAAAUGAUGCUAUUUCAUCCCAGAAUCACAGUGACGACAAGGAUACAGUUGAGUCUUGA
rnacentral:rRNA from 1 species